rnacentral:misc_RNA from 1 species
GCUGUAGAAGGUGAAUUCAGCUGAAGGAAAUGGCAUAAUUUUAAGAUCAGUGCCAUACCAAAUACAAAUACAAAUGCAAAUACAUCACAUCACUAAUUCAGGGGGGAAAGAAAUUGAUUAAUCUUUCUGAAUUCAAUCUAUGCUUCAGCCCAAACAAAUAACAAACUUCAAAGGCCAAUGCAAAAUUGCAAAUUAUGUUCUAUGGCUAUAGUUACUAUUAAGGCACACCAGGGCAGUAUAGUCACACUUGUAAAUAAAGCUGAGUAUCUAGGUUUAAUUAUAUCCAACAUCAAACAAUUGUGUGA